rnacentral:lncRNA from 1 species
GUUGUAGUGGUAAAAUGAUGGAAUCAACAUAGGGAAAGGGGUUUAUUUUGGCUUGUGGUUCCAGAGAGACAGAGUCCAUCAGAGUGGGGAAGACAUGGCAACAGGAACAUGAAGCUCACUCACCGCAAUGCAUCAGAAGUUAGACAGCAGAGAGAGAACAGGAAGCCAGCUCAGACUCGGAAGUCUUAAAGCCCACCCCCAGUGACUCACUUCCUCCAGCAAGGGACUAGCUUCUAAAGGGUUUCAGGACCUUUCCCCAAAGCACCACCAGCUGGGGAAGAACUCAGCCGGGAGCCUCUGGGAAGACUUCAUAUUCAAACCUCAGCCUCUCCAAUCACCAGCUUCUCAAAGAGAGGACGUUGAGACGCAACGAUAACACAGGCAUGCACAAAGGCUGUAGGGAACUUCUCUACCAGUUGAGCUCUGCUCUGCUUGCUGUGUUUGGUGAUCUUGAUAUUUAACUACAGUGAUGAUAAGCGGGAAACCUUUUCAUAUUAUGUUAAAUGCAGUUUUGUAAGGAGCAAAACAAACUCUGGAUGUUCAAUGAUAAAGUGAUUUCUGAAAAAAUGCUGAUUCAUCCACGAAAUGAAGUAAUAGGCUGCUAAUGAUAUUACAUUGCCAAAGAAAACCUAUCAAAUAAAAGCCAUAAAGACAAGAA